rnacentral:lncRNA from 1 species
GAGAUCUUAAGGUUCGAACACAGUUCUUCACCUUUGGAUAGAGAGUCAAAGACUAUAACCGUCAUCUUUUGGAAGAUAAUUUAUUUUGCCACAAAGGCUAGUCAAUGUACAUCAUUCUGACUAACUAGAUGAUUGUGAGCCCCAGAGGAGUCAUCCGUGGGAAUUGUCGAACUUGAUAAUUUAAAUAGCCAUGGUGCAAACAAACCAUAUAGGCCAAUAGAUAGUAUUUAGUUUAUUUGAUCAUGUCUUGCCUAGAUUUUUAAAUAAACCAUCUUUGGCGUUUAAAUGGAAUAAAUCCUUUAUACUUACUAGACGGGGGACAUAAGUCACGACUGUCAAUGUCAUAGCGACAUCUUAUAUAGCACAACGGCUUGUCCCAUAGGACUUUUCGAUGGCAUAGAUGCCUUGUCACUAGGGAAAUUUUAAAACAUAACCAAUGAUUCCUUUGGAUCGGAAAAUUUCAUAAUUCAUUGUCUUGACAAGAAGUUAUGAAAUAAAACUAUCGUUUUCAUGUAUGCAUCUUUGCCCGUAGGUAUACAUCCCAGGUGGAUGUUUAGAUGUGUAUAUCAUGUUCGACGUUUAUUAGCCAUGAUUCCUAUCGAUCAUGUAGGCUAAUUAAGGGGUUUGGAAGUUCCUAAUAUAAAGGUGACAAUCGCGAUUUUAUCGCAUCAAUGUUGUCGGGAGUGUUGACACGUUUUCAGGUGUUUAUCAGGAUCCGAAUCUCUUCUAAACAGGUUUUACCAUCUUAGCAAGGUCUUCAAUGACAUUCAAGCUAGGUCAAACUUUUUAAGAUUCUCCUUUAAUACAUAC